UCAUUUUGAUAUUUAUAUAAUAUUAAAACCCGACACAAAGUUAUGGAAAAGAUAGCCGAACGACUAAUUAAACCUUCACCUUCGUCACGAUAGAGAAAAGUAUAAUUUUUCAAAGAAAAAAACAAAGGAAACGUAGGGGAAAGAGAGGAGGCAUCAUUGAGAAAGUUGAUUACGCCCCUAAUAAUUUGCGUCUCCACGACUAAAGAGAGGAACAAAGGAGUUGCGGGGAAACAGGCGGUCCGUUGCUCCUACGUUCCUUCCACAGGAAACACAGUCGCUCUGACGUUACAUAAUUUCCAAUUAGUCGACUGGGAGCAGGCGCCGCGGAGGAUACAGAAUCUAUGGAGUAAAUGAAACGCGAAAGAAGAAUGGAUAAUGAUGUCUGCGUUAAACAGGAAUUUUGGGUUUGAAACGUGAACAUACAUGUGUGUGUGUUGUCACUCUCUGUGUUAGUCGACAAACAAAAUAACCACGUCUCAUGGCCGAAAGCGAGCGGAAACAGAAUGGUUGCCACGAGUUGAUCGGUGAAGUGUAACGCGGAUCCAUAAGUCAUGAGAUGAAGCACGUUCAAACGACCCUCGACAAACUGAACGAGCGUUGACACGAUGUAAAAGACGCGAGAACACGAGUAUUUACCCAUGUCCAACCUUUGCUCUUUUUCUAAUUUCUUCUCUGUUUAUUUCUUUGAAAUUUCUGAAUCAUUUACUUACAAAUCAAUUACAGAUAU